CCUACGGGAGGCAGCAGUGAGGAAUAUUGGUCAAUGGACGAGAGUCUGAACCAGCCAAGUAGCGUGAAGGAUGACUGCCCUAUGGGUUGUAAACUUCUUUUAUAUGGGAAUAAAAUGUUCCACGUGUGGGAUUUUGUAUGUACCAUAUGAAUAAGGAUCGGCUAACUCCGUGCCAGCAGCCGCGGUAAUACGGAGGAUGCGAGCGUUAUCCGGAUUUAUUGGGUUUAAAGGGUGCGUAGGCGGAGGUUUAAGUCAGCGGUAAAAUGGCGGGGCUCAACCCCGGACGGCCGUUGAAACUGCGGACCUUGAGUGCGCGAGAAGUAUGCGGAAUGCGUGGUGUAGCGGUGAAAUGCAUAGAUAUCACGAAGAACUCCGAUUGCGAAGGCAGCAUACCGGCGCGCAACUGACGCUGAUGCACGAAAGCGUGGGUAUCGAACAGGAUUAGAUACCCGGGUAGUC
rnacentral:rRNA from 1 species